CGUUCUUAUUCUCAUCUCUCUGCAUUCUCUCAGUGGUCUCCUGAUUCAAAAUCCAACAAGUUCAAUAAAAACAAAUCGAUUCUCCUCAAUCUCUUCUCUAAUUCUUUCUCGUUACUCAUUCUCAUCUCUCAGUUCGAUACUCUCUCUUUCUCGCUAAACAAGUAUGAGUCAAAAGCGACAGAGAUCCAUCAAGCUUGAACUUCAAUGGCUAUUUUCGAGUUCUAUGCAACAUGAAACAAGGCCUUUGGGAGUAAGCAUGAAGGAUGUUUGAAGAAUGUUAAGGCAUGGAAAUUUCGAGGACUAAGAUUAAAUUAGCAUGAAUUCUCUUGUAAUCCCUUUGUUAUAACACUUCAAAAAAAAAUGAAACACUUUAAUAUCUUGUAACUAUGAAUUUUACUUGGUGACAUCUUUGAAUGCAACUUAAAAAUUUGAGUAA